rnacentral:pre_miRNA from 1 species
AGGAACAACAACCGUGGCAGCGGCCAGCUCUGGAGCCUUGGAUUCAGCUCCUGCAGUAAUUAUGGAGCUCUCAGUCUGCAGGGGCCUGGAUGCUCCAGGGGCGG